CCUACGGGAGGCAGCAGUGGGGAAUAUUGGGCAAUGGGCGCAAGCCUGAACCAGCAACGCCGCGUGAAGGAAGAAGGCUGUCGGGGUGGAAACGUCUGUUGGCAGGGACGAAGCAAGUGACGGUACUUGACGAAUAAGCUACGGCUAACUACGGGCCAGCAGCCGCGGCAAGACGUAGGUGGCAAGCGUUAACCGGAUUUAGUGGGUGUAAAGGGCGUGUAGGCGGGGAAGCAAGUCAGAUGUGAAAACCACGGGCUCAACCUGUGGCCUGCAUUUGAAACUGUUUUUCUUGAGUGCUGGAGGGGCAAUCGGAAUUCCGUGUGUAGCGGUGAAAUGCUUAGAUAUCCGGAGGAACACCAGUGGCGAAGGCGGCUUGCUGGACAGUAACUGACGCUGAGGCUCGAAAGCGUGGGUAGCAAACAGGAUUAGCUACCCGGGUAGUC
rnacentral:rRNA from 1 species